rnacentral:rRNA from 1 species
CCUGCCGUCUACUCUUGGCCAGCCUUCUGAAAGGAAGAUUAAUCCAGGAUGGGAUCAUGAGUUCACAUGUCCGCAUGAUUAAAGGUAUUUUCCGGUAGACGAUGGGGAUGCGUUCCAUUAGAUAGUAGGCGGGGUAACGGCCCACCUAGUCAACGAUGGAUAGGGGUUCUGAGAGGAAGGUCCCCCACAUUGGAACUGAGACACGGUCCAAACUCCUACGGGAGGCAGCAGUGAGGAAUAUUGGUCAAUGGGCGAUGGCCUGAACCAGCCAAGUAGCGUGAAGGAUGACUGCCCUAUGGGUUGUAAACUUCUUUUAUAAAGGAAUAAAGUCGGGUAUGCAUACCCGUUUGCAUGUACUUUAUGAAUAAGGAUCGGCUAACUCCGUGCCAGCAGCCGCGGUAAUACGGAGGAUCCGAGCGUUAUCCGGAUUUAUUGGGUUUAAAGGGAGCGUAGAUGGAUGUUUAAGUCAGUUGUGAAAGUUUGCGGCUCAACCGUAAAAUUGCAGUUGAUACUGGAUGUCUUGAGUGCAGUUGAGGCAGGCGGAAUUCGUGGUGUAGCGGUGAAAUGCUUAGAUAUCACGAAGAACUCCGAUUGCGAAGGCAGCCUGCUAAGCUGCAACUGACAUUG